rnacentral:rRNA from 1 species
UACGUAGGUGGCUAGCGUUGUCCGGAUUUACUGGGCGUAAAGAGCGCGCAGGCGGUCGUUCAAGUCGAGUGUGAAAGCCCCCGGCUCAACUGGGGAGGGUCACUCGAUACUGAUCGACUCGAAGGCAGGAGAGGGAAGCGGAAUUCCCGGUGUAGUGGUGAAAUGCGUAGAUAUCAGGAGGAACACCGGUGGCGAAGGCGGGUCUCUGGGCCGAUACUGACGCUGAGGAGCGAAAGCGUGGGGAGCGAACAGG